rnacentral:rRNA from 1 species
AGUGAACGCUGGCGGUAGGCCUAACACAUGCAAGUCGAACGGCAGCACAGUAAGAGCUUGCUCUUACGGGUGGCGAGUGGCGGACGGGUGAGGAAUACAUCGGAAUCUACUUUUUCGUGGGGGAUAACGUAGGGAAACUUACGCUGAUACCGCAUACGACCUACGGGUGAAAGCAGGGGAUCUUCGGACCUUGCGCGACUGAAUGAGCCGAUGUCGGAUUAGCUAGUUGGCGGGGUAAAGGCCCACCAAGGCGACGAUCCGUAGCUGGUCUGAGAGGAUGAUCAGCCACACUGGAACUGAGACACGGUCCAGACUCCUACGGGAGGCAGCAGUGGGGAAUAUUGGACAAUGGGCGCAAGCCUGAUCCAGCCAUACCGCGUGGGUGAAGAAGGCCUUCGGGUUGUAAAGCCCUUUUGUUGGGAAAGAAAAGCAGCAGGUUAAUACCCCGCUGUUCUGACGGUACCCAAAGAAUAAGCACCGGCUAACUUCGUG